rnacentral:rRNA from 1 species
GAUGAACGCUGGCGGCGUGCCUAAUACAUGCAAGUCGAGCGAACAGACGAGGAGCUUGCUCCUCUGACGUUAGCGGCGGACGGGUGAGUAACACGUGGAUAACCUACCUAUAAGACUGGGAUAACUUCGGGAAACCGGAGCUAAUACCGGAUAAUAUAUUGAACCGCAUGGUUCAAUAGUGAAAGACGGUUUUGCUGUCACUUAUAGAUGGAUCCGCGCCGCAUUAGCUAGUUGGUAAGGUAACGGCUUACCAAGGCAACGAUGCGUAGCCGACCUGAGAGGGUGAUCGGCCACACUGGAAGUGAGACACGGUCCAGACUCCGACGGGAGGCAGCAGUAGGGAAUCUUCCGCAAUGGGCGAAAGCCUGACGGAGCAACGCCGCGUGAGUGAUGAAGGUCUUCGGAUCGUAAAACUCUGUUAUUAGGGAAGAACAAAUGUGUAAGUAACUAUGCACGUCUUGACGGUACCUAAUCAGAAAGCCACGGCUAACUACGUG